rnacentral:rRNA from 1 species
UGGGGAAUAUUGCACAAUGGGCGCAAGCCUGAUGCAGCCAUGCCGCGUGUAUGUAGAAGGCCUUCGGGUUGUAAAGUACUUUCAGCGGGGAGGAAGGGAGUAAAGUUAAUACCUUUGCUCAUUGACGUUACCCGCAGAAGAAGCACCGGCUAACUCCGUGCCAGCAGCCGCGGUAAUACGGAGGGUGCAAGCGUUAAUCGGAAUUACUGGGCGUAAAGCGCACGCAGGCGGUUUGUUAAGUCAGAUGUGAAAUCCCCGGGCUCAACCUGGGAACUGCAUCUGAUACUGGCAAGCUUGAGUCUCGUAGAGGGGGGUAGAAUUCCAGGUGUAGCGGUGAAAUGCGUAGAGAUGUGGAGGAAUACCGGUGGCGAAGGCGGCCCCCUGGACAAAGACUGACGCUCAGGUGCGAAAGCGUGGGGAGCAAACAGG